UACAGAGGUCUCAAGCGUUGUUCGGAUUCAUUGGGCGUAAAGGGUGCGUAGGUGGCGUCGUAAGUCGGGUGUGAAAUUUCGGAGCUUAACUCCGAAACUGCAUUCGAUACUGGCGAUCUAGAGUCCGGAAGAGGUGAGUGGAACUCCUAGUGUAGAGGUGGAAUUCGUAGAUAUUAGGAAGAACACCAGUGGCGAAGGCGGCUCACUGGUCCGGUACUGACGCUGAGGUGCGAAAGCGUGGGGAGCAAACAGG
rnacentral:rRNA from 1 species